UACGUAGGGUGCGAGCGUUAAUCGGAAUUACUGGGCGUAAAGCGUGCGUAGGCGGUUCGUUAAGUGCGUCGUGAAAGCCCCGGGCUCAACCUGGGAAUGGCGAUGGAAACUGGCGGGCUGGAGUAUGGCAGAGGGGGGUGGAAUUCCGCGUGUAGCAGUGAAAUGCGUAGAUAUCGGAAGGAACAUCAGCGGCGAAAGCGACUUCCUGGACCAAUACUGACGCUCAUGUGCGAAAGCGUGGGGAGCAAACAGG
rnacentral:rRNA from 1 species